rnacentral:rRNA from 1 species
UACGUAGGGUGCGAGCGUUGUCCGGGAAUUAUUGGGCGUAAAGAGCUCGUUAGGCGGUUUGUCGGCGUACCGGGGAUGAAAAACCCAGGGCUUUAACUCUGGGGCUGCUUUCGAUACGGGCAGACUAGGAGGUAUGCAGGGGAGAACGGAAAUUCUGGAUGUAGCGGUGAAAUGCGCAGAUAUCAGGAGGAACACCGGUGGCGAAGGCGGGUCUCUGGGCCGAUACUGACGUGAGGAGCGAAAGCCAGGGGAGCAAACGGGG